AACGGCCAUACCAUGCUGAAUAUACCGGUUCUCGUUAGAUCACCGAAGUCAAGCAUCAUUGGGCGCGGUCAGUACUUGGGUGGGUGACAAGCUGGGAACACCGCGUGCCGUU